rnacentral:tRNA from 1 species
CGGGGUGUAGCGCAGUCCGGUUAGCGCAUCUGGUUUGGGACCAGAGGGUCCCAGGUUCGAAUCCUGGUACCCCGACAA